UGGGGAAUUUUCCACAAUGGGCGCAAGCCUGAUGCAGCCAUGCCGCGUGUGUGAAGAAGGCUCUUGGGUUGUAAAGCACUUUCAUCGGGGAGGAAGGCGAUAAGGGUAACAACCUAGUCGAUUGCCGUUACCCGCGUAAGAGGCACCGGCGAAAUCCGUGCCAGCAGCGGCGGAAAUACGGAGGGUGCAAGCGUUAAUCGGAAUGACUGGGCGUAAAGCGCACGCAGGCGGUCUGUCAAGUCGGAUGUGAAAUCCCCGGGCUCAACCUGGGAACUGCAUUGGAAACUGGCAAGCUAGAGUUUGGUAGGGGGGGGUGGAAUUCCAGGUGUAGCGGUGAAAUGCGUAGAGAUCGGGAAGAAUACCGGUGGCGAAGGCGGCCCCCUGGGCAAAGACUGACGCUCAGGUGCGAAAGCGUGGGGAGCAAACAGG
rnacentral:rRNA from 1 species